GGGCCCGCACAAGCAGCGGAGCGUGUGGUUUAAUUCGAGGCAACACGAAGAACCUUACCUGGGCUUGACAUGCACGUAGUAGUGAAGCGAAAGCGGAUCGAUCCUUCGGGAAGCGUGCACAGGUGCUGCAUGGCUGUCGUCAGCUCGUGCCGUGAGGUGUUCGGUUAAGUCCGGUAACGAGCGCAACCCUCGCUGUUAGUUACAUGUGUCUAACGGGACUGCCGGUUUAAUGCCGGAGGAAGGUGGGGAUGACGUCAAGUCAGCAUGGCCUCUAUGUCCAGGGCUACACACACGCUACAAUGGCCGGUACAAUGGGUUGCCAAGCCGCGAGGCGGAGCUAAUCCCACAAAGCCGGUCUCAGUUCGGAUUGCAGGCUGCAACUCGCCUGCAUGAAGUCGGAGUUGCUAGUAACCGCGCGUCAGCCAUAGUGCGGUGAAUGCGUUCCCGGGCCUU
rnacentral:rRNA from 1 species